GAUGAACGCUGGCGGCGUGCUUAACACAUGCAAGUCGAACGGAAAGGCUCCUGCUUGCAGGGGUACUCGAGUGGCGAACGGGUGAGUAACACGUGGGUGAUCUGCCCUGCACUUCGGGAUAAGCCUGGGAAACUGGGUCUAAUACCGGAUAGGACGAUGGUUUGGAUGCCAUUGUGGAAAGUUUUUCGGUGUGGGAUGAGCUCGCGGCCUAUCAGCUUGUUGGUGGGGUAAUGGCCUACCAAGGCGUCGACGGGUAGCCGGCCUGAGAGGGUGUACGGCCACAUUGGGACUGGGAUGCGGCCCAGACUCCUACGGGAGGCAGCAGUGGAGAAUAUUGCACAAUGGGCGCAAGCCUGAUGCAGCGACGCCGCGUGGGGGAUGACGGCCUUCGGGUUGUAAACUCCUUUCGCUAGGGACGAAGCGCAAGUGACGGUACCUGGAGAAGAAGCACCGGCUAACUACGUG
rnacentral:rRNA from 1 species